rnacentral:tRNA from 1 species
AAAAAGAUAAGCUAAUGUCAAGCUAAUAGGUUCAUACCCUAUUUAUAGAAGUCUUAAUCUUCUUCUUUUUA